rnacentral:tRNA from 1 species
GUUGGUGUAGCUCAGUGGUAGAGUGCAUGUUUGGUAUGUAUGAUUUCCUGGGUUCAGUCCCCAGCUUCUCCC